GACGAACGCUGGCGGCGUGCUUAACACAUGCAAGUCGAACGGAAAGGCCCUGCUUUUGUGGGGUGCUCGAGUGGCGAACGGGUGAGUAACACGUGAGUAACCUGCCCUUGACUUUGGGAUAACUUCAGGAAACUGGGGCUAAUACCGGAUAGGAGCUCCUGCGGCAUGGUGGGGGUUUGAAAGUUUCGGCGGUUGGGGAUGGACUCGCGGCUUAUCAGCUUGUUGGUGGGGUAGUGGCUUACCAAGGCUUUGACGGGUAGCCGGCCUGAGAGGGUGACCGGCCACAUUGGGACUGAGAUACGGCCCAGACUCCUACGGGAGGCAGCAGUGGGGAAUAUUGCACCAUGGGCGGAAGCCUGAUGCAGCAACGCCGCGUGCGGGAUGACGGCCUUCGGGUUGUAAACCGCUUUCGCCUGUGACGAAGCGUGAGUGACGGUAAUGGGUAAAGAAGCACCGGCUAACUACGUG
rnacentral:rRNA from 1 species